CCUUAAAAAAAUGUCGAGUGACGCCCUAACAACCAAUACCACAAGAGACGCAAUUCUCCCGUUUUAAUUUUAAUACUUCUAACCAGUAUAUCUUUUUUGCUUUUACUAGCGGACCUGAUAGAGCGGUCAAGAGUAGUGCGAACACUAUGUGUCGUCAGGUGACUGCGUCUGCUGUCACUGAUAUUGGACUGGGAACUGCUUGGUACAUCGCGCAUGGAAUUGGACACAAUAUGGGAUUAGAUCACGACGAUGAUAGGGCUGAUGGUGCUGAUUGUCCGAAUUACAAGUAUAUCAUGUCAUCAGAGAAAAACACAGCUCCUACGAGUUAUAUGUGGUCACCUUGCAGCAGGACAAGAAUUCAAACAUUUUUGAA